rnacentral:lncRNA from 1 species
CACAAUUUUGCGACAGGUCUGAUUUAUAACAGGAAAGGUGUAUGUAUGGCUCGCACCAAGUUUAUAAGACUCGAUAUUUUUUUACGUGCACAGACUUUUCUGAAAUGGCGCACGUAGAAAUCGAGUGAAAUUGACGCAAAUGUUAUGAGGCCCGACAUCUUUCUACAGCCUCAUCUCUUAGCCACCUAUUCCUUUCCUCCCCCUCCUCUUCCACACCUCUCCUUUCACAGGUAUGACAGUCUAGCUAUGCUUGACAAAGGGAUAGACAUUCUGCCACCGUGCAGCGUUGAGGAAGGGGUCACUUCACCCCCCCGUCCCCACUUUACUCUCUCGCUCCCCUCUUUUUUUCUGUUUGGUGCUCAACUAGCCCCCACAGCGGAAGAGGAGGAGAUGGCAGAAAGCGUCCCUCCUCCCUUCUCUCUCUCCCUCCCUCCCUCCUGCCGCCACAGCCACCAGGACCUGGCCUCUUUCCCUCUGCUUGGUUAUGCAAUGCACGGCUCUCCCACGGCACGUCUUGCACAGGGGACCCGCCACAACACAGCUGCCACCAGCUGCAGACCCACACAGCAACAGCUACGCAGCAGCACUCCGGCUUUCCAGCUCUCCGGUUGUUCACAAACAGCUCUCUGGGAUUUUACUGGCUCUUUGGAAUAACACUUGCUGUGGCGUGGGCUGUCUGUAGUAUCAGUCGAUUGUUCUACAGCGGACUGGAGGCGCGGUAGUAGUUGCCGCAAGCACUAGCGGCUCCAGAGAAACCAUGCGCGGCUGUAGCUCCGGGUUUCAGAGGCAGGCGAGAGAGAGGCGCCUCUGAAAGGCACUAAUUGCUCUGCUCCAGAAAGAGAAGCAAGGAAGGACGCAAGGAGAGAAGAGGGGGUGGGGGCGUGUACAUUUGUCACAGAGACUGGGGCUCUCUCUUUGAGCUGCUAAGAGGGUCAAAGAGCCAACAAGAGCCGAGGAGGAAGAGGGGGGCUGUGGUGGAAUUGGAGAGAGUGGGACGGUAGGAUGGGGAGAGUAGUGGGGAGGGGGAGCGUAAGAAGCCCCCUAGUGCUUCAGCUUUGGUGGUGGAGACCUGACGAAUAAAAUAACAAAAGCAAAAAGGAGACAAUAACGCAACCAAAACCAAGGCAGUAUUUAACCAAGGGGGUGGCGCAGAGGACUGGAGAAUUCAUCCGGGCAAGAAGGGGGUGGUUUUCACAGAGAGCAGUGUCUGCAUACAGUGCCGUGCACCAAGACGCAGUUUGGAGCCCGGAUCUCCUUUUCUUUUCCUCUUUCUGUGACGCUGGGAGCGUGGCUACACAGCCAGCCUCCCCCCCGUCCCCCCCAAAUGCAGGCUCCUGUGUGUGGCCAUGCUUCUCCGCUGAGGACCCAAAAGCAUGCUGGAUGUCACCCAGCUCCUCACACGCCUUAGGAUAAGUGCCAGCAGCACCCUUGCCAGGUUGGGCGAGCGUCAUGGCCAUGGGCCCAACGGUCAUUACUAUUGAGGAGGUGCGGGCGCUAGAGAGCAAGGAGGAGCAGGAGGAGUCCAUCUUGGCCCUGCUGGGAAUCGUUGGCACCUUCCUUAACCUCUUCGUCAUUGUCUUUGUUUACAUCUACACCGUUGUGUGAGCCAAGCCAGAGUGGGAGUGAUCCCCCAAACGACAAGGCACAAACCAAGCUUCCAUCUAACCCCAACAAACGUAUACUGGAUUGUACAUGCCAAGCUCCUCCUCCCUCUAACUAGGUAUUAGUUAUAAAAAAGGUGCAAACGACAAGAUAUUAAAACAGGAGGGGGGAGCAGUUUCCUCACACAGAGAUUGAGGGUGGACAGUUCCGUGGGAGGUGGCGUCUCACAGCCAUGAACCAGAGAGAUAAUAGUGAGCUGGUGGAGACAUCAGGACCAUGGCUGUGCUGGAUCCAGGAGGGGGCGAUAGACAGGGUUGGGCUGCAGGCCAGCACAGCCUGGGGGGAACUAACUUCACCUUGGACUCAUUAGAAUGAGGGAAACGGACAGUGUUACCGACCAAUCUCCUUUGUCAAGUGGAUAAAAAAAACAGACAAAGGGAUAUUGACGUCACUGGUCCGGAUGGUUUCAGGGCCAUGGCGUGGCGCUGUAAUGUACUGUGCUGCUUGCCGUCAGAUAGGCUAUACACACACACCAAAGUGUUAGUCACCGCUUCUCAUGAUAUGGAGACAUCACAACAGAGAGAUACACCAUCUCUGUCUAUUUCGUCUCCACAAGAACUGAUCUGCAAAGAGAGCAGAAGGAGUGGAAAUGACAAUUUCACAUUUAAAUUCAAAUCGACCACCUGGAGAUCUGCAAUAAAAAGGCAAGUGGAGAGAGAGGUAUUUUUUUUAUAAAAAGGAGAGUCUGCUGUGGUGAUUAAAUCAUCCGCAGGGGUGGAAAGUAACUUGUGGGCACUGGCAAAAAGCUCCAUUCUGCAUUUACUAAUACAUAAGGCCAGACUUAAUCUUCUCUCUCUUUCUGCAUCUCUUUCCACGUUCUGUUCGGUUAUUUUGAUGUAGGCUAUUUGUUCAUGUUGAUUUCAGGGUAGUGUCAGCGAUCCAGUUUCUGUAUAAAGAUCUAAGCUUUUAUAAACACAUGAAUAAACUAAACUCUAGAUGUACUGUGCAAUAGGGAACAUUUUUACAAUAAAAUGAGAAUAUAUGAAUUAGACUCAAGCCUCAUCUAUGAUGGGUUCUGUGGGAGAAUGUAGGCAUAAGCAAAAGCAUGCGCUUAUGUGAGAUACAAUGCACAGAUGCAAGGAACUGAGGAAGUACGUCAUGUCUUCAUGCUUAGAGCAUGUUCCAUGAGUUUGCUUUAUUAGGAUUCGGAGCUUCUUCAAAUAUCACAAAAAGGUCAGGGUGGCAUGUUCCCAGUCACAUGCAACAUAGGGGACAGAAUUUAACCUCCACUAGCAUGUGUAUCCUGCAUUCUAACGAGAGAGGUUGAGCGUGGGUCAGAUCUGCUCGGUUUCAAAUGAGUCGACUGCCACCUGGAACGCACAUCACAACAUUUGAAUUGUCAGUUGCACCUACCUGAAUGUGGUGUGUGUGUGUGUGUGUGUGUGUGUGUGUGUGUGUGUGUGUGUGUGUGUGUGUGUGUGUGUGUGUGUGUGUGUGUGUGUGUGUGUGUGUGUGUGUACGCGCGUCAAUGUGCACAUCGUGUCUGAAUCAAUAUGGACAAGGACAUACAAGAUGAAUAAAGCAGCUAGUAAUACAGCCUAAGUAACUACACAAGAAGUGAACAAAUCACAUUGUUGGAAAACACAACAUGCUACAAAACCAAACUGUGUGCAGUAGAAAGGCCUUACUGAAGAGCGCAGUAACUUUCAACGUGGCACCGUCAUAGGAUACCACCUUUCCAACAAGUCAGUUCGUCAAAUUUCUUCCCUGCUAGAGCUGCCCCGGUCAACUGUAAGUGCUGUUAUUGUGAAGUGGAAAUGUCUAGGAGCAACAACGGCUCAGCCGCGAAGUGGUUGGCCACACAUGCUCACAGAACAGGACCGCCGAGAGCUGAAGCGCGUAAAAAUCUUCUGUCCUUGGUUGCAACACUCACUACAGAGUACCAAACUGCCUCUGGAAGCAACGUCAGCACAAGAACUGUUCUCCGAGAGCUUCAUGAAUUGGGUUACCAUGUCUGAGCAGCUGCACACAAGCCUAAGAUCACCAUGCGCAAUGCCAAACGUUGGCUGGAAUGGUGUAAAGCU